UACCAGCACCCCGAGUGGUCGGGACGAUUAUUGGGCCUAAAGCAUCCGUAGCCGGUUUUACAAGUCCUCCGUUAAGUCCAGCUGCUUAACAGAUGGGCUGCGGAGGAUACUAUAAGACUAGGAGGCAGGAGAGGCAAGCGGUACUCAGUGGGUAGGGGUAAAAUCCGUUGAUCCAUUGAAGACCACCAGUGGCGAAGGCGGCUUGCCAGAAUGCGCUCGACGGUGAGGGAUGAAAGCUGGGGGAGCAAACCGG
rnacentral:rRNA from 1 species